CAGCAGCCGCGGUAAUACGUAGGUGGCAAGCGUUGUCCGGAAUUAUUGGGCGUAAAGGGCUCGCAGGCCGGUUUCUUAAGUCUGAUGUGAAAGCCCCCGGCUCAACCCGGGGAGGGUCAUUGGAAACUGGGGAACUUGAGUGCAGAAGAGGAGAGUGGAAUUCCACGUGUAGCGGUGAAAUGCGUAGAGAUGUGGAGGAACACCAGUGGCGAAGGCGACUCUCUGGUCUGUAACUGACGCUGAGGAGCGAAAGCGUGGGGAGCGAACAGGAUUAGAUACCCUGGUAGUCCACGCCGUAAACGAUGAGUGCUAAGUGUUAGGGGGUUUCCGCCCCUUAGUGCUGCAGCUAACGCAUUAAGCACUCCGCCUGGGGAGUACGGUCGCAAGACUGAAACUCAAAGGAAUUGACGG
rnacentral:rRNA from 2 species